rnacentral:rRNA from 1 species
GCUUGUCUCAAAGAUUAAGCCAUGCAUGUCUUAGUGUAAAUAACUCUUAUGAAACUGCGAAUGGCUCAUUAAAUCAGUUAUCGUUUAUUUGAUGGUCCCUUACUACAUGGAUAACCGUAGUAAUUCUAGAGCUAAUACAUGCGUCAAACCUCGACUUCUGGGAGAGGUGUAUUUAUUAGAUGGAAACCAAUGCGGGGCAACCCGGUAUAUGGUGAUUCAUAAUAACUUUCGGAUCGAUCUUCGGAUCGAUGCAUCAUUCAAGUUUCUGCCCUAUCAGCUUUGGAUGGUAGGGUAUUGGCCUACCAUGGCUUUAACGGGUAACGGAGAAUUAGGGUUCGAUUCCGGAGAGGGAGCCUGAGAAAUGGCUACCACAUCCAAGGAAGGCAGCAGG